rnacentral:rRNA from 1 species
GACGAACGCUGGCGGCGUGCUUAACACAUGCAAGUCGAACGGUAAGGCCCUUCGGGGUACACGAGUGGCGAACGGGUGAGUAACACGUGGGUGAUCUGCCCUGCACUUCGGGAUAAGCCUGGGAAACUGGGUCUAAUACCGGAUAGGACUCCGGACUGCAUGGUCUGGGGUGGAAAGCUUUUGCGGUGUGGGAUGGGCCCGCGGCCUAUCAGCUUGUUGGUGGGGUGAUGGCCUACCAAGGCGACGACGGGUAGCCGGCCUGAUAGGGUGACCGGCCACACUGGGACUGAGAUACGGCCCAGACUCCUACGGGAGGCAGCAGUGGGGAAUAUUGCACGAUGGGCGCAAGCCUGAUGCAGCGACGCCGCGUGAGGGAUGACGGCCUUCGGGUUGUAAACCUCUUUCAGCAUCGACGAAGCGAAAGUGACGGUAGGUGCAGAAGAAGGACCGGCCAACUACGUGCCAGCAGCCGCAGUAA